rnacentral:misc_RNA from 1 species
UUUCCGUAGGUGAACCUGCGGAAGGAUCAUUAACACUUUUUAUAUCCACUAUAUCAACCAAAGUCGAACUGUCGUUGUGUUGUGAGUAGAAACGAAUGGCUAUGUGGUGAGGGCCUCAAAAACCUCGUCUUCGUUUCACGGCUCUUUUCUUCUCUUCGGAGAGGGAGGGGUCAUGCUCCAGCAUGACGAUCACCACGGUUACCUAUUUAACCACUAUGAAUUAUUGUACUAAAAAACCUUUUCUUACUGUGCUUUUGUCGCCGCAAGGCCGAAAGUCUGUAAGUAAAAUUUUACGAAACACUGAACAACUCUUAGCAACGGAUAUCUUGGUUUCC